CGGGGUAUAGUGCAACGGCAGCACGAGUCCAUGGGGUGGAUUUAAUCCCGGUUCAAAUCCGGGUACCCCGACCC
rnacentral:tRNA from 1 species